CAGCACCUCAAGUGGUCAGGAUGAUUAUUGGGCCUAAAGCAACCGUAGCCGGCGCUGUAAGUUUUCGGUUAAAUCUGUACGCUCAACGUACAGGCUGCCGGGAAUACUGCAGCGCUAGGGAGUGGGAGAGGUAGACGGUACUCGGUAGGAAGGGGUAAAAUCCUUUGAUCUAUUGAUGACCACCUGUGGCGAAGGCGGUCUACCAGAACACGUCCGACGGUGAGGGAUGAAAGCUGGGGGAGCAAACCGGAUUAGAGACCCGAGUAGUCC
rnacentral:rRNA from 1 species